rnacentral:lncRNA from 1 species
AACACGAUUGUUGUUUCUUGGACUGCAGAAAUUGGAAGAAACUAUUCCAUGGCAGUAUAUCUUGUAAAACAGUUGUCCUCAACAGUUCUUCUUCAGAGGUUACGAGCAAAGGGAAUAAGGAAUCCGGAUCAUUCUAGAGCUUUAAGUACGUAUGAUAAACUUAUUUCACUUAUUCAGCUAUUUUGUUAAAGGUUAGAGUAGUAUUUUCUCAACUCAAGAAAUUUUAGAAUUUGUUUAUUCACUGGAGCCUGUUGUGUAGUUCUUAGAGUAGUUCUGAUAUCUUUGUCAUGAGCUAUAUUUUAUAAUCUAUAUUUUACUAAUCUUAAAAUUAACUUUGUGAAGUCAGUGCACAAACAUGGAAGAAUAUUAUUCUACAACUUCAUAAAAUCAAUGUUUAAGGAAUUCUGGGAA